rnacentral:rRNA from 1 species
CACGUAGGGGACGAGCGUUGUCCGGAUUCAUUGGGCGUAAAGCGCGCGUAGGCGGCUCGGAAAGUCGGGCGUGAAAUGCCGGGGCUCAACCCCGGGACUGCGGUGGGUACGGGCAGACUAGAGUGAUGUAGGGGAGACUGGAAUUCCUGGUGUAGCGGUGAAAUGCGCAGAUAUCAGGAGGAACACCGAUGGCGAAGGCAGGUCUCUGGGCAUUAACUGACGCUGAGGAGCGAAAGCAUGGGGAGCGAACAGG